GCCCGGAGAGCUCAGUCGGUCGAGCAGAGGAUUGUAAAUCCUCGUGUCGGUGGUUCGAUUCCGCCUCCGGGCACCA
rnacentral:tRNA from 1 species